UACGUAGGGGGCUAGCGUUGUCCGGAAUCAUUGGGCGUAAAGAGCGUGUAGGCGGCUCGAUAAGUCCGCUGUGAAAGUCCAGGGCUCAACCCUGGGAUGCCGGUGGAUACUGCCGGGCUCGAGUCCGGAAGAGGCGAGUGGAACUCCUGGUGUAGCGGUGGAAUGCGCAGAUAUCAGGAAGAACACCAACGGCGAAGGCAGCUCGCUAGGACGGUACUGACGCUGAGACGCGAAAGCGUGGGGAGCGAACAGG
rnacentral:rRNA from 1 species